rnacentral:lncRNA from 1 species
UUUCAGUUUAGUUCUAGGAAGUCGUCGUGAAACAGCCUUAGGUCCUCUGCCUCCAGACCCUAUUCUCCUGCCUCGGAAGGACUGUUCCCACACCAUCUUGAUAGGUUUUCACCUUCAUUCCUGCAGAAGCUGCCCUGGAUGAAGUAAACACUAGCAGCACCCAGUUCUCAAGCUCCAUGAAGACCACACCUGGGCCCGUUCUGCUCCUACAAGCUCUGACCAGUAAAAUGGCACCUUCCAGUACCCCAGGCUCAGAUGGGAUGCUGGUGUCCAGGGAGAGAGGGGGCUUGAAAGAUGGCAUAAGGAAGAGGAGCAGAAUGGCGCACAUACGUCAUGAGCAGUUGGUUGAAUCAGUUUCUUGCCUGGGCUACACUGGUCUUUCCUCGACGCAAACAAAUGCCAUUUCCUCAGGAGCCAAGAAUGAGGUGCUCUUUUCAAAUUUUCUGUGCUCCACAGAGCUGUGCUUAGAUGCUUCAUGCUGCUUCGAAGUUCUGAGGCAAGAUCCUAAGAUCCUGCAACCUCACAAGCUCACUUACAAAGCAUUACUGUAAUGCAUCCCAGCAAGAAGCUCUGUUUCACUGUAGCUUGGAGCACAAGAUUGCCUUGUAAAUAGGAAACGAUGAUGGAUGGAAGACAGCAGAGGCUUGUGGAAUUUUAACCCUGAUGGUAAGGCUGCCGCUAAGAAUAACCCUGCUGUGCUUCAGGCCAGGGAGGCUGAGCAGAAAACCCUCUUUUCUCAUUGCCCCACCUGCCUCUUCUGGACGCAAUCAGCCAAGGAGUGAACAGUCUUGUGGAUCCCUUGUCUGCAUAGCCUCAGAGCACUCUUGAGCCUGCGUUUUCAUCAUUCCCAGGCCUCCUGGAUGAAACUGAGCAGCCCUUGAUGCCUGCAGACAGUCUCCACUGAGCUUUCCUAGUUUAUCUUUAAGUCCUGUCCCAAGAGGUUUGUCAGUCUCUGUCAAAUAAGACAUGUUGCUCACACUGAGACCUUGUUCUUAUCCAGGCACAAAUAAACUGCUAUUUUCCAUGAUGCUUGGACUUCACUCUUGUUAACUUAUUAAGGCCCUAAGGGCCCAGAGGGACAAGUUCUAUUGUCAUCUGCAUUUAGUGAACGGAGUGUGUGGAUGUCACACGGCAGAGCCAAGACCCAUCACAUCUUCAGGCUACAUCACCCUGCUCACCGCAUGGCUCAUGGCAGGUGGCAGGUGAGGGUGACAGUGGAGGCACACUUUCCCUAGGAUGCUGUUACAGAGCUCAGGGGAUGUGGAAAGGCAUCACUUUGGAAGUGUUCCCCACACAUUAAAGUUACCUAUUCCUGAAGAUCCUUACAAAUGUUCAACCACUUUGGAGGGAUGUAUGCAUUGCCUCUUAUAAAGUAGGUUUUUAAAUUUGUCCUAAAUCCCCUUCCUCUCAAACGUGUUCUCAUUAGAGAACUCCAGGAUUUCAGCAGACAUAUCCACAUGCUCGUUUUCAAGGUCCUUCAUGAUAUCAGAGACCUGGAGCCAUAACCACUGACUGUUACCAGCCACACCCGUCUCAUCUGCAGCCUCUCCAGAAGCAAGGAAGCCAAGCUUCACCUGCCUGUGUGCUGAAGCUGCCUUUACCCUUCUUGAUUUGUGUUCUAGUGUUUUAUUCACAAAGUCUUUUCCUACCAAGGAUCUUUUUAAAAAUGUAUAUUUUCUUUUUAAAAAGUUUUGCUUCACAUAAUGAGAAAUGCCCCUGGAAGUUUUUCUAGCCAAUGUGAGUUCGGUAUGUAAUUUUAUUGUUUUUCAUUUGGAAAGCAAAUUGUCCUAGCUCUAUUGUUUGGCUACUCCAACUUUUUUCCCACUUCCCUGCUAGUUUUUAAUGGUCACUCUUUCAUAUAAUCACUUAUUUAUUUAAUCUAUUGGAUGCCUCUAGUAUGCCAGGCGCUGUUGUAAGUGCUGCUGAUAUGACACAAAGGCAGAAAACAGCCCUGCCCUCGUGGAGCGCAGAUUUUAGUGGACCUGGAGGAUUUUCCAGGCAGAGAAAAUACCAAGUACAGGGACAAGAAGCAGAAGUUCUGUGUGUUUGAGACACACUUGAGAAGGCAGUGUGUUGGGAAAAUAAAUAAGGUAGGAAAAGGAUAGAAGACAAGAUCAGAAAGGUAGCACCUAGAGCCCAAGCUAAAAAUUUCGGGAUGCAUUUAAGUGUGAUGAAAAUCCACCAAGAGUGAAAUCAGCGAGGCCGAUAAGAAAGCUCUUCACACAGUUUAGACAGCAGACAAUGGUGGCGGCUUAGACGCAUGUGCAAUGUAUGUAGUGCCCUAGGAAGAGUGACUGGAUUUUAGAUAUCACUUGAAGGUCAAGCUGAUGAAUUUGUGUAUAGUCAGAGGGAAAGGGAGAAGGUUUUUUUUUUUAUUGGAGUAAUUAUGUAAAAUAGUGGUGUCGUUUUAUUGAAAUAGAAAUCCUGCAGAAGCAGGUUCAAGGGCAGGAGUAGAAAGUGAAGACAAGAGUUCCAUUUCUAAAAUGUAAGCUUUACACACUUGUUAGACAUGGAGAUGUCUUGCAGACAGUUAGGAAUGCAUUCCAGGAGCUCAGGAGUUAGGGUUGUGGAUAUAAAUGUGGUUGUCUUUAGCACAUAGCUGAGAACUAAAGCCAUAGCAUGAGAUGAGGUCACCCAGCACAUGAGUAUAAUUAGAGAAGGUGGAUUUGUAUUGGCUUUUUUUUU